rnacentral:rRNA from 1 species
AGUGAACGCUGGCGGUAGGCCUAACACAUGCAAGUCGAACGGCAGCACAGUAAGAGCUUGCUCUUACGGGUGGCGAGUGGCGGACGGGUGAGGAAUACAUCGGAAUCUACUUUUUCGUGGGGGAUAACGUAGGGAAACUUACGCUAAUACCGCAUACGACCUACGGAUGAAAGCAGGGGAUCUUCGGACCUUGCGCGAUUGAAUGAGCCGAUGUCGGAUUAGCUAGUUGGCGGGGUAAAGGCCCACCAAGGCGACGAUCCGUAGCUGGUCUGAGAGGAUGAUCAGCCACACUGGAACUGAGACACGGUCCAGACUCCUACGGGAGGCAGCAGUGGGGAAUAUUGGACAAUGGGCGCAAGCCUGAUCCAGCCACACCGCGUGGGUGAAGAAGGCCUUCGGGUUGUAAAGCCCUUUUGUUGGGAAAGAAAAGCAGCAGGUUAAUACCUCGCUGUUCUGACGGUACCCAAAGAAUAAGCCCCGGCUAACUUCGUG